rnacentral:lncRNA from 1 species
AAGAAAUUAGAUAAAAAUCUCAAAUGGCUCCGGCUCCGGCUCCACCUUAUGAGUGUCUAUCUCCGACCCUCCUUUCAUCAGCGACUUCCACCAAUUCUUCUUAUCGUCCGCCGAUCUCGUUAGCAGCAUCGAGACAAUACUCUGCUCCUCUUCCAGAACGAUAUCCGUCUUUCUUCCAGAACGAUACCUGACAAUACUGUUGCUGUUGGGUUUCUUCGACGACUUCAGAGAGGAUCGCCAUGGCUGUGAAUUUGAAAUUGAUCCGAGUUUGUGCGAUUAGGGUUUUGGGAUUUGUUGGGUUUGUCGUGUAACUUCGUUGUCUUCCUUUCCAGCCGAAAUAUUGGGAAUCAAACCUGCAACCUAAGAACAAAUAUUUUAUUUUAUUUUGGACGAUCGAGAUUAUGAGAGGAUGAGUGAUGACUUUAGAGUUUG